GACCAUACUUAGCAACGAGCAAAGUACGGUUCGUUUUAGGUUCGAAGAAGGUUCGCAGCUUGGAGGAGAAAAUGUUUCCCAAGUAAAGAGAAAGCUGUCUCCGAUUUUGUGAUUCUUUGUGAGAUUAACCCCACUUGCAAGCUCCGGACUCCCGGUGGCCGCUCAAUCUGCGUACCGUCAAACGAACCACCAGGCCACGUACCGUCAAUGCCAGUACCUAAUCACAUCAAAACCGUUCCCAAAUCGAAUAGUCAACGAGUCCAAAACUUGCCGAAAGAAAUCUUCCGAGUACGUAGCUACCUCAUAUCGCUUCUACUCGUCGCAAACGCAUUCUCCAUCCUGACAGCUGCCACCCUUAAACCGUAGAUCGACACACUUCAGAGGGCAGAUGAUGGAACCGGCCGAUGGCAGAAUUUCGCCG